rnacentral:rRNA from 1 species
AUUGAACGCUGGCGGCAGGCCUAACACAUGCAAGUCGAGCGAGCGGCGGACGGGGGAGUAAUGUCUGGGAAAAUGCCUGAUGGAGGGGGAGAACAACUGGAAGCGGUAGCUAAUACCGCAUACCAUCGGAUGUGCCCAUAUGGGAUUAGCUAGUAGGUGAGGUAAAGGCUCACCUAGGCGACGAUCCCUAGCUGGUCUGAGAGGAUGACCAGCCACACUGGAACUGAGACACGGCCCAGACUCCUACGGGAGGCAGCAGUGGGGAAGAUUGCACAAUGGGCGCAAGCCGGAUGCAGCCAUGCCGCGGGUAUGAAGAAGGCCUUCGGGUUGUAAAGUACUUUCAGCGGGGAGGCGUUACCGGCAGAAGAAGCACCGGCUAACUCCGUGCCAGCAGCCGCGGUAAUUC